rnacentral:rRNA from 1 species
UAGAUGCGAGAGUAGAGCAUAUCAAUAAGCGGAGGAAAAGAAACUAACAAGGAUUCCCUUAGUAACGGCGAGUGAAGCGGGAAGAGCUCAAAUUUGAAAUCUUCAAGGUUUUACCUUGACGAAUUGUAGUUUAAAGAAGUGUUUUCUGUUGGAGUUUUGGUAAAAGUUCUUUGGAAUAGGACAUCAUAGAGGGUGAGAAUCCCGUAUUUGACCAUUAUUUCAGCUGUGUGAUACACUUUCAAAGAGUCGGAUUGUUUGGGAAUGCAGUCCAAAAUGGGUGGUAAAUUUCAUCUAAAGCUAAAUAUUGGCGAGAGACCGAUAGCGAACAAGUACCGUGAGGGAAAGAUGAAAAGAACUUUGAAAAGAGAGUUAAACAGUACGUGAAAUUGUCAAAAGGGAAGCGUUUGACAUCAGUGUUGUUUUCUCGAAAAUCAAUUAAAAAAUGCCUGGAUUUUGUGUUGUAUUGACCUUAUAAGCUUUCUGCACUCUUUUCUUAUCUUUUUUAAUGCACUUUUCGUUUAACAAGUCAACAUCAAUUUCUUUUGUUGUAAAAGAGGUCAUUGGAAGGUGGCUUUUCUUUCGGAAAAGUGUUUAUAGCCUUUGAUCUCUGCAAUCGGAGAGACUGAGGUCUGCAGCGUAGACUCUUCGGGGUUAGAUACAUUUGUGCUAAGCUAUAGCUUCUUUAUAGACAACUUGUUGACUAUAAUUAAUCCUUGUAACUUACUCGCUUAUGCUAUUUUACCUACGCUUAGGAUGUUGACGCGCGUGUGUGCGUG